rnacentral:SRP_RNA from 1 species
GCUGGGCAUGGUGGCUCACGCCUGUAAUCCCAGCACUUUGGGAGGCUGAGGUGGGUGGAUCACCUGAGGUCAGGAGUUCAAGACCAGCCUGACCAACAUGGUGAAACCCCGUCUCUA